rnacentral:rRNA from 1 species
AAUAUUGGAAAAGGGGCGAAAGCGUGAUCUAGCAAUGCCGCGUGUUUGAAGAAGGUCUUAGGUUAGUAAAGCACUUUAAGGUGGGAAAUGUGGAAGUAAGCUAAGACCCUGAUGUUUUGACGUUCCCGACAGAAUAAGUACCGGCUAACUCCGUGCCCGCAGCCGCGGUAAUACGAAGGGUGCAAUGGUUAAUCGGAAUUACUGGGCGUAAAGCGCGCGUAGGCGGUUUGUUAAGUUGGAAGUGAAAGCCCCGGGCUCAACCUGGGAACUGCUUUCAAAACUGGCAAGCUAGAGUAUGGCAGAGGGUGGUGGAAUUUCCUGUGUAGCGGUGAAAUGCGUAGAUAUAGGAAGGAACACCAGUGGCGAAGGCGACUACCUGGACUGAUACUGACACUGAGGUGCGAAAGCGUGGGGAGCAAAC